rnacentral:rRNA from 1 species
UAUUUCCUACGGGGCGCAGCAGUGGGGAAUAUUGGACAAUGGGGGGAACCCUGAUCCAGCGACGCCGCGUGAGUGAAGAAGUAUUUCGGUAUGUAAAGCUCUAUCAGCAGGGAAGAAAGAAAUGACGGUACCUGACUAAGAAGCCCCGGCUAACUACGUGCCAGCAGCCGCGGUAAUACGUAGGUGGCAAGCGUUGUCCGGAAUUACUGGGUGUAAAGGGAGCGCAGGCGGGAAGCCAAGUCAGCUGUGAAAACUACGGGCUUAACUUGUAGACUGCAGUUGAAACUGGUUUUCUUGAGUGAAGU